GGACCUCUAACCGGAAAAGA
rnacentral:rRNA from 1 species